UACGUAGGGUGCGAGCGUUUGUCCGGAAUUAUUGGGCGUAAAGAGCUCGUAGGCGGUCUGUCGCGUCGGUCGUGAAAACUUGGGGGCUUAACCCUGAGCUUGCGGUCGAUACGGGCAUGACUGGAGUUCGGUAGGGGAGACUGGAAUUCCUGGUGUAGCGGUGAAAUUCGUAGAUAUCGGGAGGAACACCGGUGGCGAAGGCGGCGACCUGGGGUAGAUACUGACGCUGAGGUGCGAAAGCGUGGG
rnacentral:rRNA from 1 species